UACAGAGGUCUCAAGCGUUGUUCGGAUUCAUUGGGCGUAAAGGGUGCGUAGGCGGCGUGGUAAGUCGGGUGUGAAAUCUCGGAGCUUAACUCCGAAACUGCAUUCGAUACUGCCGUGCUUGAGGACUGGAGAGGAGACUGGAAUUUACGGUGUAGCGGUGAAAUGCGUAGAUAUCGUAAGGAAGACCAGUGGCGAAGGCGGGUCUCUGGACAGUUCCUGACGCUGAGGCACGAAGGCCAGGGGGAGCAAAACGGGG
rnacentral:rRNA from 1 species